rnacentral:snoRNA from 1 species
ACUUUCCACGUUUCCCACCCCUUGGAUCUAAAUACUGGUCUGAGUGGCGUUAACAAGGAGGAAAAGGAAAAGUGAAGUGGAUUUGUCGUCUUCGGUGACUUACAAGUUCAUUUCAAACAUAU